UGCAGAGAUCCUGAACAAAUUGAUUCACGCAGUGGAGAUUAAUACCCGCGACCCCUCAAUAUCGGUGCGAAUAACUGCUUCUUGGGCUUUGGCAAACAUAUGUGAUUCUAUCCAGCACUGUAUUGAUACUCUUGCUUUGGAAGGCUCCACAGGUGGGUUAUAUGUUACAGAAGCUAUUUAUUAUUUUCAACUACUUUAUUUGAAAAGUUAUUGAUGUAUUAUACUUUUCCUUAGACUAUACUGCAGUCUCUGAAUCAGUGGCAUUACUAACUGAUUAUACUGAAAUGACAGCACAUAACACCAAAAUGAAUCAUCUGAUAGUAUCAACCGUGAUAGUGCCCCUGUGCUUAAACUGGAAUGACAACACAUAAAGUAUUGCAUUUUUUUGUUGAUUUUCUGAUGAUCUUUCGAAGUUCUUCUUUCAUGUUGUUUCUUCAAUUUCUUCUAUUACUGAUU